CAGCCGCGGUAAUACAGAGGGUGCGAGCGUUAAUCGGAUUUACUGGGCGUAAAGCGUGCGUAGGCGGCUUCUUAAGUCGGAUGUGAAAUCCCUGAGCUUAACUUAGGAAUUGCAUUCGAUACUGGGAAGCUAGAGUAUGGGAGAGGAUGGUAGAAUUCCAGGUGUAGCGGUGAAAUGCGUAGAGAUCUGGAGGAAUACCGAUGGCGAAGGCAGCCAUCUGGCCUAAUACUGACGCUGAGGUACGAAAGCAUGGGGAGCAAACAGGAUUAGAUACCCGAGUAGUCCCUGUCUCUUAUACACA
rnacentral:rRNA from 1 species